rnacentral:lncRNA from 1 species
AAAAAUAUAUUUACCCGCCAAAACGAAGGCACUGCAGCCACGUGGUAGUGGGGAAGGGGGUUACUCUAUUCACAAUCUGGCUUAGCCUGGAGUCCAGAGUCCAGGCCCUGGACUGUUAGUCAGUUGUUCUCUAAGAGUUGUGCGUAUAAGAGCUUUUGUAAGAAGUCAGUGAUUGUGUGUCAAAUUUUGUUUCAAAAAAUAAAUUCCGUGGUAAUAGCAGAAGGAAACGUAAAAAAAUUUUAUUUGUCAGAACGAAGUAAAGAAAACUAAACUGAAGAAAAACUUCAACGGACUAUAGAUAGUCAGCGUACCAAAUUUCCUCCAGUUUCGAAACUAGUUUCUGGAACUGAAGAAAGUGAUGUGGAUAUGAUAAAAAAUAACCGUGAAAAAAAAACGGAAAGUGGCGAUAAUUCUAUCCAAUCUGUCCUUCAAGAGAAAUUAGCCUUAAAAGAAAAAGAAUUUAUCCAUUUCUUAUAUAGCUCUGAAGUCCUUUCAAUAGUUAUUUGCAGAUAAAAAUAUAUAGAAUUAUCUGUAUUACUGUAUGGAAUGUUCUUGUAGAGGCCCACAGCUACACCUGGAUGUAUCCAAAUAUGUAACAUUAAACCUGGAAUAAAAAUUUGGCCUAUAGCUACAUCUGAGUACAUCCAGAUACAUAACAUUGGACUUGAAAUAAAAGUCCAAUCUGAAUAAUCCAUUUGAUACCAUUUAGUUAUAAGACAUUAUUAAUUGUAUUUUACAAAUGAAAAUACAUAAAAGUGAUUGUAAU